rnacentral:rRNA from 1 species
AUUGAACGCUGGCGGCAGGCUUAACACAUGCAAGUCGAGCGGGGUGAUGGUGCUUGCACUAUCACUUAGCGGCGGACGGGUGAGUAAUGCUUAGGAAUCUGCCUAUUAGUGGGGGACAACAUCUCGAAAGGGAUGCUAAUACCGCAUACGUCCUACGGGAGAAAGCAGGGGAUCACUUGUGACCUUGCGCUAAUAGAUGAGCCUAAGUCGGAUUAGCGAGUUGGUGGGGUAAAGGCCUACCAAGGCGAGGAUCUGUAGCGGGUCUGAGAGGAUGAUCCGCCACACUGGGACUGAGACACGGCCCAGAGUCCUACGGGAGGCAGCAGUGGGGAAUAUUGGACAAUGGGGGGAACCCUGUUCCAGCCAUGCCGCGUGUGUAAAGAAGGCCUUAUGGUUGUAAAGCACUUUAAGCGAGGAGGAGGCUCUUUUGGUUAAUACCCAAGAUGAGUGGACGUUACUCGCAGAAUAAGCACCGGCUAACUCUGUGCCAGCCGCCGCCGUAA